AAUCAAUUUUGUUCUCUGGCUUUCUUCCCAGCAGCACUCUGGCUCUAGAUUCCUGCUGCUGAGAUGAAUGGCAACUUCUCCCAGACUGCUUCCGAGCUACAGUGGGAUUAACUCUCUGAGCUGUGCACUUCAGAAUAUGUACUGAUCCAGCAGGGGACUAAAAACAAGGAGGCUGGAGCUGCAAGUCAUCCCCAAAUGAGAUGGAGGAUUCCCCAAAACUAAUGGUGCGUUGAGGCUGUCCUCCCCCUUUGAGGUAAUGACGCCACAGGAAGAAGUCAGUCAGCGAAUACCCCGGGUCUCGACUGUCACAGAUUUUACUGACACUGCUGAGCUUUGAAGAACUCUUAACCUGAGGAAUGGAAUUACCUCGCUGAGUUGUGCACGAUGCCCUGAAACAUAAGUGAUGUUGAGGACAGAAGGGUGUGACAUUUCACAGGAAGACGUCUGUGCCCACAGAUCCCUGGCAUGGUGAGGGAAAGUGUCACCCAUCAUGCUGCAUCAGUGAUCGGCGCUCCUGGAAUAUGCAGACAGGGAGCCUAUGUCCCAUGUCUACUGAAAUUAAAUCAGAAAAAACUCCGAAAGCAAGAAAGGCCGAUGUUUUAGAAAACAGAACAAUGUUAAAAAAUGUGGACCUGGUAAGAUACAUAAAGUAAGAUGAGCUGUAAAAAGCCAUACCACCAGUCUACCGGGUAUAUUCUUGUAAUUAACAAGGCAUUAUAACUUAAUGUUGGCAUUUCCUACAGUAAAAGGUGUAAAAGAUGCAGUGUAAAUGUCAAUACAUGUUUUUUUGCACGCUUACAAUACAGACAAGUUGGGAAAUAUACUUCGUUUGAUACCACUCUUAUAUUUGUGGGAUGAAAAUGAAGCUACAGCCAGAAGGCGCUUAGUUUAGCAUAAAGACGAAAUGGGAAACAGCUAGCCCAUAUAAUUAUACUUUGUGUGCAGUUAUUAACCAGCUUCAUGCCCUCAACCUCCUCCAGCAUCUCUUAGACAUAAAUAU